UCAAUAACCAAAUACUUUCUCAAUAAUACACCGUAAACUGUUUUGUAAAUUUCUAGCCGUCGCGUAACGCCCGUUUGACGUUGUGAACGUUUCGAAUUGCGAAUUGCAAUAGAGUUCCAGUUGCCGCCAAUUAUAGAAGUGAAGCUUGAAGCAUCCUUGACGCAGUCAAUUUGACACUGACUCUGGCUGGCUGGCAGAGCCGAUUGCAGUACUGGCGUAGCGACGAUGGCGGCAUUGGACAGCAUAGGCUGGUCGACUUUGCGCAACACAAAGUGUGGCAAGAGCCAACUAAUGGAGAGCCAAGCGUUACGAGGGUGGCGCAUAUAAAAGCCAAAGUACUCACACCCAACCGAACUCACAGCAGCCACCAUUUGCCUACCAUGCCGCCACCACGCUGACUUUUGAUGCUGCUGCUACUGUCGUUGCUGCGGCAGCCAAGAACCAAUGCUGGCCGCAGCCAACAGCCACAUACACACACACAGGCGCAUGCAGUAUCCAUGGCGGCAGCAAGGAUAUUAAGAAGUUGCGCGGCUUGCUGCUUGCUUUUCGACCUUUAUUCUCCGCUUAUUGCUUCGCUUCUUGAAUUUAUGUGGUAACAGCGGCGACGUGAGGCGAUGCGAUUUGGCAAAUGUCAAAUUAACUUAUCUACGCUGCAAAUCUAUUGACAAGAAACUAAUCGGCAUACCAAUAUGUAUCACGAAACCGAUUUCGCGGAAUAUUACAGAGACGUCAUUGCAUGUGACACUCGCACGACCGGUAUCUGAUGUGACUGUACGCAUAAGCUUCAUGAAGAAAUCUACUGACUAUUCCUUGUAUUUCGGGGAGAAGACCUACGAUGCUUGCAAGUUCAUUGGUAAACGAAAACUUUAUCCAAUUGCAGAUUAUUUGUUUGGAAUUAUAGAGGACUAUACGAAUCUCAAUCACUCGUGUCCAUAUGAGGGAGACGUCAUUGUAAACCGCUUUCGCAUAAGUACUGAAAAAUUGACUUGGCUACCAAUGCCCGAGGGUGAAUAUGCAAUUUACACCUAUUGGACCAUUGCAGGGAAGCCAAGCGCGGAAUUUAAUAUAUUUUUUAGUUAUACAUAAAAUUUGGAGCUUAGGCCAUA